CGGUGGGCUAGGCCGGGGGGUUCGGCGUCCCCUGUAACCCGAAACCGUCGAUAUGCGGGGGCCGAAGCCGAGGGAAGGUCCGCCAAACGGGAGUAACCGUUCGGCAAAGCCUUGCAGAAUCCCCGUCCCGAGGGGUCGGCGGUCACGGUUGGAGCAUCUGGAGGGAUGCUCCGCCGUGUUUACCGGGGGAACCGGCCCAGGCCCGGAAGGGAGCAGGCUUACCCCGGACGACCGGCGCUCUCGGGGGUGCGGGGAGGAGAGGCUUUGCCGAAUGGGCUCCCGCAAGGCGGAUCGACCCGAGGCGUGCCCACCA
rfam:Archaeoglobus profundus DSM 5631, complete genome.